rnacentral:rRNA from 1 species
CGGUUGGUCGUNUGAUAUUUCCGUUGCCGUGUCAGACGUCGCGACCUGUUCGUCGCCGGUCCUUGCUCGGAGGAAUUGCGAUCGAGUUCGUUGCGAGUGCGUUUCGGCGUGUCUCGCGGCGAAGACGCGACUCUCUGGCUGGCGACGGACAGUAAGCAACGGUGGCCGGCGUCGUGUCUCGCACUCGACGUCGGUGCCGGUCAGCGACGAUUUCUUCGGGCCUCUUUCCGACCCGUCUUGAAACACGGACCAAGGAGUCUAACAUGCGCGCGAGUCGCGGGGUUUCGAGCGUGCCACGGUGCGCUCGUUACUUCCGAAACCCGUACGUUGAAGGCGUAAUGAAAGUGAACAGGGAAGAUGGCGUUCCGAGUCCACGUACCGUGAUCGUGUAUCGCGGCCGGACGUCCGCACUCCCGGGGCGUCUCAAUGGUUCGACGCGGAUGCGGACGGUCGUCUUUCGGGGCGGCCGUCGGUCUGCGUCGGUCCGAGGCGCACCUAUAGCGUGCACGUUGGUACCCGAAAGAUGGUGAACUAUGCCUGGCCAGGAUGAAGUCAGGGGAAACCCUGAUGGAGGUCCGCAGCGAU